UAGGGAAUCUUCGGCAAUGGACGAAAGUCUGACCGAGCAACGCCGCGUGAGUGAAGAAGGUUUUCGGAUCGUAAAACUCUGUUGUGAGAGAAGAACAAGGACGUUAGUAACUGAACGUCCCCUGACGGUAUCUAACCAGAAAGCCACGGCUAACUACGUGCCAGCAGCCGCGGUAAUACGUAGGUGGCAAGCGUUGUCCGGAUUUAUUGGGCGUAAAGCGAGCGCAGGCGGUUUCUUAAGUCUGAUGUGAAAGCCCCCGGCUCAACCGGGGAGGGUCAUUGGAAACUGGGAGACUUGAGUGCAGAAGAGGAGAGUGAAAUUCCAUGUGUAGCGGUGAAAUGCGUAGAUAUAUGGAGGAACACCAGUGGCGAAGGCGGCUCUCUGGUCUGUAACUGACGCUGAGGCUCGAAAGCGUGGGGAGCAAACAGG
rnacentral:rRNA from 1 species